UAUCUUUGCGUAAUUAAGCAUGAGCUUUAGCUCUAGCUUCGUGUGGUGAUAACUGUAUAAGGGUCGGCUUUCUUUUGCAAUUGUUUGACUAUUGGAAAGCCUAGUCUAGUUAUGUUGCUAUGCUUCUGUGUGGACUGCUCGAUUGCUUGUAAUCAUGUGCCGGCGUGUUGUGCAUCUGUUAGUUGGGGUAUUACAAGAAUUAUGUGUAUUUGGUGAGCUGAAUUAAGAUUAGAAAGUUACAUAAUUUGGGAAACAGAGUUUAUUACAGCUUUGAUGGAGAACGGCGAUGUGAAUUUUCGGAGUCGACCAUCUGAGGAUCGAACCAUUCCCAUGAAUGUUAAUGCAGAGCGCACAAAAGCUUUCUACACGGGAUGUUGAGCAUGUUCUCAUGAAGAGUUUGUCUGUUCAUCUUGUGGAGGGCAUAAUCGAUCAAGUUGAGGGGACAGUAUACGUUUCAUGGGUGCGGCCAAGAGUUUUGGGGAUUCCACAGGUCAAAUUACUGCAUGGCCGACUGGACAAUUGGCUGGACAAAGUACACACGGCUUUGUCAUAUGUUGAAGCAGAAGCACCAGAUCUUGUAGCUUAAUGAUUUCUCCCACGUUCCCGUUCUCCGUUUUGCAACAAUCUUCUGAUUUGAACUGAAAGAAGAGAGAAAAAUGAGCCACUUCGUCGCAAGGUGCUUGGUCAGGCAGUUGUGCAUCUCAAUUUACUUCCCUGGUGCUUCAUUGUUUU